rnacentral:tRNA from 1 species
GCCGGUGUAGCAUAGUGGUUGGUGCAGUCCGUUGGUAACGGACAGGUCGGGAGUUCAAAUCUCCCCACCGGCU